CUUCUAUGCUGCCGGGUUGGGAUCGGCCCGCGUCCCAUUAGCUAGUUGGUGAGGUAACGGCUCACCAAGGCCACGAUGGGUAGCCGGCCUGAGAGGGUGUACGGCCACACUGGCACUGAGACAAGGGCCAGUCCCCUAUGGGAGGCGCAGGCGGGAAUAGUUCACAAUGGGCGAAAGCCUGAUGACGCGACGCCGCGUGAGCGAAGAAGACCUUCGGGUUGUAAAGCUCUGUCAGGAGGGAAGAAGGCUCUACGGGUCAAUAGCCCGUGGGAUUGACGGUACCUCCAGAGGAAGCCCCGGCUAAAUACGUGCCAGCAGCCGCGGUAAUACGUAUGGGGCAAGCGUUGUCCGGAUUUACUGGGCGUAAAGGGCGCGUAGGCGGUUUGUUAAGUCGAAGGUGAAAUCCUCGGGCUCAACUCGAGAAUUGCCUUCGAUACUGGCAAACUAGAGUGGCGGAGAGGAAAGCGGAACUCUUGGUGUAACGGUGGAAUGUGUAGAUAUCAAGAGGAACACCGGUGGCGAAGGCGGCUUUCUGGACGCACACUGACGCUCAGGCGCGAAGGCGUGGGUAGCAAACAGGAUUAGAUACCCUGGUAGUCCACGCCAUAAACGAUGGGUACUAGGUGUCGGGGGUAUCGACCCCUCCGGUGCCGCAGUUAACGCACUAAGUACCCCGCCUGGGGAUUAUGGUCGCAAGGCUGAAACUCAAAGGAAUUGACGGGGCCCCGCACAAGCGGUGGAGCAUGUGGUUUAAUUCGACGCAACGCGAAGAACCUUACCUGGGCUUGACAUGCUUGGGACAGCGCUGGAAACAGCGUCUCUCCUUCGGGAGCCCUUGCACAGGUGCUGCAUGGCUGUCGUCAGCUCGUGUCGUGAGAUGUUGGGUUAAGUCCCGCAACGAGCGCAACCCUCGUUACUAGUUGCCAUCAGUUCGGCUGGGCACUCUAGUGAGACUGCCGGUGAUAAACCGGAGGAAGGUGAGGAUGAUGUCAAGUCAUCAUGGCCCUUACGCCCAGGGCUACACACGUGCUACAAUGGUCGGCACAAAGGGUCGCUAAGCCGCGAGGUGGAGCUAAUCCCAAAAAGCCGGCCUCAGUUCGGAUUGGA
rnacentral:rRNA from 1 species